CAAUUUAUAACCCUAAAUCUCUUCUCGAUCUGGUGAGACUCGCACCGCUGAAACCCUAGCCUCCACCCAACUCAACAUCGAAAGAAACCCUAAAUCGACUCUCUUUCGCCCCUUCCAUGGCUAAGAAGCGAAAGUCCCGUGCUUCACAACCUUCGGUAGAAGAACCAGUACCUAUGGAGGAGCCUCAAGAACAGAUCAAUGAAGCACAACAGGAACAGGAACAGGAGCAGGAACAGGAACAUACCGCCAACGAUGAUGUCUUAGGGAAGGAGCUAGUGCAAGAAGGUGAUGAAAACGCUCAAAAUCUGGAGGAGAAUAAAGAAAAGUAUGAGCAAGAGGAGGAGGACGAUGCUCAAGAAGAAGACGAAGAAGAAGAAAGCGAAGAAGAAACCACCGUAAACGAGGUCAAGGUUGAAGCGAACGGCGGCGGCGGAGGAGAAGAAACAGAGGAUUUGGAUGAAGAACCCGUAGAGAAGCUUCUUGAGCCGUUCUCCAAGGAACAGCUCCUCUUACUGCUCAAGGAGGCUGUUUCGAAGCACCCUGAAUUUAUCGAAAGCGUCCAGAAGAUUGCCGAUGCGGACCCUGCUCACAGGAAAAUAUUUGUGCAUGGUCUAGGUUGGGAUACCAACUCUGAGAUCCUAACUAGCGAGUUUGGAAAGUACGGUGAGAUUGAGGAUUGCAAGGCUGUGGUGGACAAGGUCUCUGGAAAAUCUAAAGGUUAUGCGUUUAUACUAUUUAAGCACCGGGCCGGGGCUCAGAAAGCUUUGAAGGAACCUCAGAAGAAGAUUGGGAACCGCAUGACCUCAUGUCAGCUGGCUUCUGCUGGGCCAAUCCCUGCUCCUCCACCGACUGCACCUCCGGUGUCCGAAUACACACAAAGGAAAAUAUUCGUGAGCAAUGUGUCUGCGGAGAUCGAUCCUCAGAAGCUUUUGGAGUUCUUUUCAAAAUUUGGGGAGAUCGAUGAUGGGCCACUGGGAUUAGAUAAGCAGACUGGAAAGCCUAGAGGGUUUGCGCUCUUUGUGUAUAAGAGUGUGGAAAGUGCAAAGAAAGCUCUGGAAGAGCCGCACAAGAAUUUUGAAGGGCAUACUUUGCAUUGCCAGAAGGCCGUUGAUGGUCCAAAGCCAAAUAAACCUUACUUUCAACAACCACAUCAGCAUCACAACCAGCAUCAACAUCAUAACCAGCAUCAGCAUCAACAGUAUGGUGGUCAUCAUCACCCUUCAAAAAAGAGCAAGUAUUCCAGCUCAGGAGGUGGUGCAGGACAAGGUCAUUUGAUGGCACCUUCGGGACCUUCGGUGGGUUACAACCCAGCCGUUCCUCCGGCAUUGACCCCUGCUUUGGGACAGGCCUUGACUGCACUCCUUGCGACUCAGGGAGCAGGACUGGGGAAUCUUUUAGGACUUGGUGGACCUGUGAACCCACAGGGAAUGCCACCUGCGAUGAACAAUCCUGGGUAUGGAAAUCAGGCAGGUGCAAGCUAUGGUGCGCAACCAGGGAUGCAGGGUGGGUACCCCAACCCACAGGUUGGUCAAGGAGGCAAUAGACCGCAGCAAGGUGGUGCAUCUUACAUGGGUCAUGGUCACUAGUCUUGUAGCUCCCAUUCGUUGUUCGGUCAGUGGCAAUGCUCAUGAAUGUCCUUCGCCAGUGGCUGUUUCAGGAACAUGAACAAGAACCGGAGAGUGGGGAAUCAUCUAUGAAUGGCUAAUCAUGCUAUGGAGCCUGGAGGGGUACAUACAUAAUUUAGUGUUACUGGUGCAUUAUGAAGACUGUAGAGGUCCAUCAGAAAGAGGUGAUCACGUAAUCGAAAAGGAAGAUAUGAAGAAAGCGUGUAGGCAAAGAUUGUGGUUCUCACAGAAAGUAACCGACGAGAUGAUGUGUGAAUAAAUAAUGUACCAUGUAUGAGAAAGGCCACUAAAGUUGGUUUAGUAGGUCGAUGAUAGGGAAUGUAAAAGCUUAACUUGCAUGCGUUAAUAAUAUCGUCAUUUUCGAUACCGGAUCAUAAGAUAAAUUAAGACGAUGCUAGAUAAAAUAAUUUCUUCCUACUUCUAGGUUAUUAAUGUAAUAUAAUUACCAAAAUUAAUCACCAGAACAAUAACUUCUUUGAUUAA